rnacentral:rRNA from 1 species
GUAAUAUGCUUAGUGGCGGACGGGUGAGUAACGCGUGAACAAUCUGCCCUAUACAAAGGAAUAGCCUCGGGAAACUGGGAUUAAAACCAUAUAACACUUUUAGGCCGCAUGGUUUGAAGUCAAAUUGAUUAAGAGGUAUAGGAUGAGUUCGCGUCUGAUUAGCUAGUUGGUGGGGUAACGGCCUACCAAGGCGACGAUCAGUAGCCGGCCUGAGAGGGUGAACGGCCACACUGGAACUGAGACACGGUCCAGACUCCUACGGGAGGCAGCAGUGGGGAAUAUUGCACAAUGGGCGCCCUGAUGCAGCGACGCCGCGUGAGUGAAGAAGGUCUUCGGAUCGUAAAACUCUGUCCUUGGUGAAGAAAAAAAUGACGGUAGCCAAGGAGGAAGCCCCGGCUAACUACGUGCCAGCAGCCGCGGUAAUACGUAGGGGGCGAGCGUUGUCCGGAUUUACUGGGCGUAAAGGGUGAGUAGGCGGUAAUAUGUGUCAGAUGUAAAAGGCUAUGGCUUAACCAUAGUUGGCAUUUGAAACUGUAUUACUUGAGUGCAGGAGAGGUAAGUGGAAUUCCUAGUGUAGCGGUGAAAUGCGUAGAUAUUAGGAGGAACACCAGUGGCGAAGGCGACUUACUGGACUGUAACUGACGCUGAGUCACGAAAGCGUGGGUAGCAAACAGGAUUAGAUACCCUGGUAGUCCACGCUGUAAACGAUGAGUGCUAGGUGUUGGGUAGCGAUAUUCAGUGCCGAAGUUAACACAAUAAGCACUCCGCCUGGGGAGUACGGUCGCAAGACUGAAACUCAAAGGAAUUGACGGGGACCCGCACAAGCAGCGGAGCAUGUGGUUUAAUUCGAAGCAACGCGAAGAACCUUACCAAGGCUUGACAUCCCCUUGACCAGUGCAGAGAUGUACUCUCUCCUUCGGGGGCAAGGGAGACAGGUGGUGCAUGGUUGUCGUCAGCUCGUGUCGUGAGAUGUUGGGUUAAGUCCCGCAACGAGCGCAACCCUUGUUGCUAGUUACCAGCACGUAAUGGUGGGAACCUAGCGAGACUGCCGGUGACAAACCGGAGGAAGGUGGGGAUGACGUCAAAUCAUCACGCCCCUUACGACCAGGGCCACACACGUACUACAAUGCCCGGUACAGCGAGUUGCAAAGCCGCGAGGCAGAGCUAAUCUCUUAAAACCGGGCCAAGUUCAGAUCGGAGGCUGCAAUUCGCCUCCGUGAAGCUGGAAUCGCUAGUAAACGUGGAUCAUCAUGCCACGUUGAAUAAGUUCUCGGGCCU